GACGAACGCUGGCGGCGUGCUUAACACAUGCAAGUCGAACGGAAAGGCCCUGCUUUUGUGGGGUGCUCGAGUGGCGAACGGGUGAGUAACACGUGAGUAACCUGCCCUUGACUUUGGGAUAACUUCAGGAAACUGGGGCUAAUACCGGAUAGGAGCUCCUGCUGCAUGGUGGGGGUUGGAAAGUUUCGGCGGUUGGGGAUGGACUCGCGGCUUAUCAGCUUGUUGGUGGGGUAGUGGCUUACCAAGGCUUUGACGGGUAGCCGGCCUGAGAGGGUGACCGGCCACACUGGGACUGAGAUGAGGCCCAGACUCGUAUGGGAGGCAGCAGUGGGGAAGAUUGCACAAUGGGCGGAAGGCUGAUGCAGCAACGCCGCGUGGGGGAUGACGGGCUUCGGGUUGGAAACCGCUUUCGCCUGUGACGAAGCGUGAGUGACGGUAAUGGGUAAAGAAGCACCGGCUAACUACGUG
rnacentral:rRNA from 1 species